UACUGGAGGUGGAAUCAGGAGAAGACUAAGAUGAAUGGUUCAAGUGCAUCGUGUAAGACUCCUUCACAUAUUGUACAGUUUAUAUACAUUGCAGAAAUCAGGAGGGAUAUGAAGUUUCAGUCCUAUAUUAGGAUGCGACCAGUAUAUCACUCCUAAAUAUUUCAUCCAUAUAUUAGGAUAGAUAUGUUUCUGCAAUCCUAAUAUACUAUGCGUUUACUAUUGCAAUCCUAAAUAAAGUUUACGUAUAUAACAUUGUUUACAUGUGCUCUUACUGAGAUAGAUUUACAACAUUAGACUAGUGUAGUUCUAACAGUAUAAUGUUUGCAUCUCUUACACUGAACUUUACUGCUAGGUGCUGACUAGAAUUUUGUACCUCCUCUCUGACAUGGUUUCAAAGAACUGAUCUCUUCACAUUACAUUGCCAACCAAAUUUGAUUCCACCGAACUGUAUGAAAUCAAAAUUUGACUAGUUUGGUCCCUUUGGGGACAUCCGAUAAAAUUGGAAUGAUACAAAGAAGAUUAGCAUGGCCCCUGCGCAAGGAUGACACGCAUAAAUCGAGAAAUUGUCCAAAUUUAA
rnacentral:lncRNA from 1 species